rnacentral:lncRNA from 1 species
CCACAGAUGCCCGCGGGGGGAUGAGCUCACAGACACCCUCAUUGUCAUGGAGGCUGUGGGGUGUGUGGGUGGGGCUGAGGGGCUCCUGCCAUCCCUUUGCUGCUAGCCAGGCCUUGAUGAGGGGAGGGGAGCUGACUUCCUAGAGAUCGCGCCACGUGCCUUCCGCCAUUUGUGAAGAACCCGCCGAUGAAGCCCAGCCUCGGUGGUCAUAAAUUGGUGCCUGGCGAGAUGCCAGCGAUGUCCAACGUGAUCACUCUUCAGGUCCCACCACACCGAUGGACUGCCCCGCAGGACCUCACUGCUGGACUGCACCGCAGGACCGCACCGCCGGACCGCCCCGCUGUCCUGGCAGUGCGGAAUAACAACGUGCACCAUUUAAAUGUAAGGUGACACUGCAGUCAUUACAAGAUGUGAUUGAUCUAGAUUCAUCCAGCUGCUUAGAUUCAUGGGAACUUCUGGAAAGUGAUGGGAAAAAGUGACGGGAGCCUGCAUCACACCUGGAGCCCAUCAAAGUGACGGAACAGCACUCCGAAGGCAUGAGCACUUCCUGGUAUGGAAAUCAUUCCUCGGUUUCCAAAAACAUCCACACUGGUUUUUCUACGAAUGGUGGGAUUUUAUUUAAUUAUAUUUUAUUGUUCAACCCUGUCUGUGUUUUGUAAGUUUUCUGAAUUUAAUUCUACCUAUUGAAAGAUGCCCAUCAUGUACUCAAGAAAAUCAACUUGGAGCAUUGAAAUAAAAUACAAAAAUUGGGGGAUGCAGCUAAAGCUUAAGGAGAAACUGAUUACUCCAAUGCCUAUAUUAGACAUGAAGAAAAAGUUUAAAAUCAAUUAUCUUUGCUUCCACUUUAGGGAGCUAGUUAAAAAAGAAAAAAUU